GACGAACGCUGGCGGCGUGCUUAACACAUGCAAGUCGAACGGAAAGACCCUGCUUUUGUGGGGUGCUCGAGUGGCGAACGGGUGAGUAACACGUGAGUAACCUGCCCUUGACUUUGGGAUAACUUCAGGAAACUGGGGCUAAUACCGUAUAGGAGCUCCUGCUGCAUGGUGGGGGUUGGAAAGUUUCGGCGGUUGGGGAUGGACUCGCGGCUUAUCAGCUUGUUGGUGGGGUAGUGGCUUACCAAGGCUUUGACGGGUAGCCGGCCUGAGAGGGUGACCGGCCACAUUGGGCCUGAGAUACGGCCCAGACUCCUACGGGAGGCAGCAGUGGGGAAUAUUGCACAAUGGGCGGAAGCCUGAUGCAGCAACGCCGCGUGCGGGAUGACGGCCUUCGGGUUGUAAACCGCUUUCGCCUGUGACGAAGCGUGAGUGACGGUAAUGGGUAAAGAAGCACCGGCUAACUACGUG
rnacentral:rRNA from 1 species